CCUGCACAGCAUACUGAAUUCAAAUGCCCCUUUCCCACUUGCACCUCAGGGUUGUAGGUUUUUCUCAGAGCAUCUUGAACAGAUAAUCAGAGCGUGCUGACAUUCAGCAGUAAUCAAUUAGCGCCUACUUUAGAUUAAAUUGAGAAUAUGUAAAUUAGGCUCCUCAUCAGGCACCACAGUCAACAUUUCAGAGACACUCACUGUGCUCUGAACAUAUCAAACAGAUGAAAUGCAGAAGUUGUUCCAAAUCCUGUUCCAAAAUGGGAGGCCAGUGCCACAGCAUCCACACCUACUGUUUAGCUAAGUUUCUGCUGGACGCAGCCCAGAAGUCCUAUGUUUGUACGUAUUCAAUGGAAAAGACCUGCCAAUGGAAGAGGAACCGCCUCUUUCUUGAGACACUGAGCAAGGAGCUUGGACGCACCCCCAGCUGAUCACAUUUGGAGAAAGAGACAAUAACUGGACUCCUCCUAGAGCAGAUAUUGUAGUUGGUGCUCAUUAAAAAGAGCCUCUAACCUGUAGAUAAGCACUGCCUUGUGCCAACCCAUCACUCAAACGUCCCACCUUUGCCGCAACCUUUCCGUCUGGCUCACGCAGAACCGCGAUAAGCCGCCGCUUUCCGCCCCACAGGGACGGGG